AAAACCGUUCCCCAGCUGGGAGAACAGGCAGCGCAAUCGACCCCCCCGCUUGUUGUACCAACACAUGAGAGUACCGGCGCCGGUCAGCUGGUAAUAACCGACGAGCAUAGAAGGCAAGCUGAAGAGCUUAGUAUCACUGUUCGACAACUCCUAGAGAUCGAGCCCAUGUCUCCUCUUAGAGAGGAGGACAUAAAAUGGAAAUAUGUCCGCGGCAAACCUUUGGUCGAGCCUGAGGAGGUCAAGAACCUCCGAACGAGAAUGUAUGAAUUGCAUGAAUGGUACAUGAAAAUUACCAAGAGUUCCAAUCGAGAGUCCCUCAUGGUGAAAGUCAAUGCAGACCAUUACUUCGAUGCGCUAGCUCUGUCCGUUGAGUAUACAGAACUCUUUCAGUUAUUCAAUCAAGAAGCACUCGACAAAUCUCUCGUCAGUUGCUAUAGUCUGUAA
rnacentral:rRNA from 1 species